rnacentral:rRNA from 1 species
CCUACGGGUGGCAGCAGUGAGGAAUAUUGGUCAAUGGCCGGAAGGCUGAACCAGCCAAGCCGCGUGAGGGAGGAAGGCGCAGAGCGUCGCAGACCUCUUUUGCCGGGGGACAAAAGGCCGGACUCGUCCGGUCCUGAGGGUACCCGGAGAAAAAGCAUCGGCUAACUCCGUGCCAGCAGCCGCGGUAAUACGUAGGGGGCAAGCGUUAUCCGGAUUUACUGGGUGUAAAGGGGGCGCAGACGGCAGCGCAAGCCAGGAGUGAAAGCCCGGGGCCCAACCCCGGGACUGCUCUUGGAACUGCGCGGCUGGAGUGCAGGAGGGGCAGGCGGAAUUCCUGGUGUAGCGGUGAAAUGCGUAGAUAUCAGGAGGAACACCGGUGGCGAAGGCGGCCUGCUGGACUGCGACUGACGUUGAGGCCCGAAAGCGUGGGGAGCAAACAGGAUUAGAUACCCUUGUAGUC